rnacentral:misc_RNA from 1 species
UUCGUCGAAUCGGCGGUUUCUAUUUCUAAAACCAAAAUGGCGUCCUCCAAGAAAAAGAAGAUAUUGACGAAAGACGAACUUCGUCGUUUAAUGAAACAGACACAAAGUGGUGUUAAAAGUCAGGCUAAGCGAAUAGAACAUCCACUAGCAAAAUAUAACUCUUUGGAUCGGUUGGUUUGCUCAUUGUGCAAUUGUGUGAUCAAGAAUGACGUUCUGUGGACCCCACAUCUUCUGACAAAGCAACAUAAAGAUAGACUUGCUCAAAAACAGACGGCAAGUUACCCAGAAGUCCCUGUUUCUUUGAAACGACCAGCAUCUCAGCCGGAUUCAUGUUCCGACCCCAAAAAAUUAAAAGACUGCAAUGGAAGCACAAAUAAGUUACCUCCAGACUUCUUCGACAGUUCUGCGAAAGGCAACACGACAACGACAAAGUCUUCCCUGUUGGCCGACUACGAGUCGUCUUCAGAUUCCAGUGACGAAGACGAUGCGGUUUCUUCGUCGUCCACUCGCCUUCCAGCAGAUUUCUUUGACAACUCAACAACGGAUGAAGUAAAAGAAGAAAAACCAAAAAUUAUGUCAGAAAAAUUACCAGAAGGCUUUUUUGAUGAUCCAAAAUUGGAUGCUAAGGUUCGACAAGUUGAAUACAAAGACAAGAUGGAGGAGGAGUGGGAACAGUUCCAAAGAGCUAUGCAGGAAGAGACUCAUGUCUCUCGGGUCAUCAUGGAAGAAGACGAUGUACAGGCCAACCUCGACCGAAACAUUGAUGAAAUAGAUGAUCAGAUGACUCGCUGGCAGGAAAUUGAAGAUCUUCAUGUGAAGAAAGAAGUGGUGAUGCAGAAGACUGGGGAUGGACAGAAGGACGAAGACUCGGAUGAGGAUUUGGACGAGAGUGAACUGGAUCUCUUUAACUGGAGGGCCAAGAAGACCUGGAGAUGACAGUUUCACUGUAUUGUUUUCCCCAAGGGAAGUUGGUGCUGUUGGUCUGGCAGAUUUGUUUUGCUGUUGUAGGGUGACAAAGUUAAAAUCACCGAUUCACACAUGCAGACUUGCCAGUUUCUAGGCAUUGAAGUUGGGUUUGUUUGUAUGAUAACUGAACCUUGGGUUAGUUUCCAUUACUCCACAGCAGGUUGAAAGAACCUGAACAUAUCACCCUUAUUAUUUCAUGUAGGUGGGUGAUAUGACUUUUAAAGAAUUACAUGAUGCAACAUAUAGUGCUUUUGUGAAAUUACGUACAUGUAUGAAACUCAUACAUUAGUACAGGUCAGAAUACUUAUGUGAAAGAGAGUUGAAACUACAUCAUGAUUUAAGUUUUUUUGUUUUUUUUUUUAAAAUUUCUUAAUCAUAUUACUUUUUCAUUUCAUUUUGUGUGAAAAUCACCAGAUUAUUCAUUAAUCUCAUCAGAUACCCAUGAGAAAACUACCAUUGACUUAUUGUGGAAAAUACACUGCUGUUCUGUUAUGUACACGUAUAUGUAAAGAUAAACAAAUGUGUGCUAUUCUCAAAGUGAAGAUUAAAUGUUGUAAUAUUUGUGUUUGCUUAAUCAAUUUCUAAGAAUUACUGUGUGCUAUUCUCAAAGUGAAGAUUAAAUGUUGUAAUAUU